ACUAAGCUUCAAUAGCGUCCUCUGUAAAACAGGAAUAAAUAAGGAGGACACAAUGGGGUCAUGAUAAAGCCCUUAGCACAGCAGCUGGCACUCAGAGAGAUUGAGAAGCCAGAAGAAGGUUCUGGAUCCCCUGGACAGAGCUGGAGUCACAGGGGGCAGUAAGUUGCCUGACAUCAGCUCAGAAAAUAUCUGGGAUCUUCUAGAGAGCAGGUACUUUUAACUAGAGAAUGGAGCCAUCAUUCUAACAGAUACAGUAGAUGCAUCACCUUUGUUUGCCGAUUGGGACAUAUUUGGCCAGAUCAGCAAUGAAUCCAGAACAAGU